rnacentral:rRNA from 1 species
UACGUAGGGGGCAAGCGUUAUCCGGAAUCAUUGGGCGUAAAGCGCGUGUAGGCGGUUCAGUAAGUCCGCUCUGAAAGCCCAGGGCUCAACCCUGGGAGGCGGGGUGGAUACUACUGAACUAGAGUACGGAAGAGGGAGAUUGGGAAUUCCUGGUGUAGCGGUGAAAUGCGCAGAUAUCAGGAGGAACACCAACAGCGAAGGCAGAUCCUCUGGGACGUAACUGACGCUGAGACGGCGAAAGCGUGGGGAGCAAACAGG